rnacentral:rRNA from 1 species
GGAUUGUAAACUUCUUUUAUUAAGGACGAAAAAUGACGGUACUUAAUGAAUAAGCUCCGGCUAACUACGUGCCAGCAGCCGCGGUAAUACGUAGGGAGCAAGCGUUGUCCGGAUUUACUGGGUGUAAAGGGUGCGUAGGCGGCUUUGCAAGUCAGAUGUGAAAUCUAUGGGCUCAACCCAUAAACUGCAUUUGAAACUGUAGAGCUUGAGUGAGGUAGAGGCAGGCGGAAUUCCCCGUGUAGCGGUGAAAUGCGUAGAGAUGGGGAGGAACACCAGUGGCGAAGGCGGCCUGCUGGGCUUUAACUGACGCUGAGGCACGAAAGCGUGGGUAGCAAACAGGAUUAGAUACCCUGGUAGUCCACGCUGUAAACGAUGAUUAUUAGGUGUGGGGGGUCUGACCCCUUCCGUGCCGGAGUUAACACAAUAAGUAAUCCACCUGGGGAGUA